rnacentral:rRNA from 1 species
UGCAUGGCUGUCGUCAGCUCGUGUUGUGAAAUGUUGGGUUAAGUCCCGCAACGAGCGCAACCCUUAUCCUUUGUUGCCAGCGGUCCGGCCGGGAACUCAAAGGAGACUGCCAGUGAUAAACUGGAGGAAGGUGGGGAUGACGUCAAGUCAUCAUGGCCCUUACGACCAGGGCUACACACGUGCUACAAUGGCGCAUACAAAGAGAAGCGACCUCGCGAGAGCAAGCGGACCUCAUAAAGUGCGUCGUAGUCCGGAUUGGAGUCUGCAACUCGACUCCAUGAAGUCGGAAUCGCUAGUAAUCGUGGAUCAGAAUGCCACGGUGAAUACGUUCCCGGGCCUUGUACACACCGCCCGUCACACCAUGGGAGUGGGUUGCAAAAGAAGUAGGUAGCUUAACCUUCGGGAGGGCGCUUACCACUUUGUGAUUCAUGACUGGGGUGAAGUCGUAACAAGGUAACCGUAGGGGAACCUGCGGUUGGAUCAC